GAUUGCGGUAAUGCACCUGGCGCGCGUUUACCAUCCUUUUAGAAAACGUUUCUCUUGGUGGGAUCCGAUCUAGAUCUUUUACUUUGGAAAAAAUAGAGUGUUUAAAGCAGGCUUUUGCUAUGAAUACAUUAGCAUGGAAUAAUAAUCUAGGACUUCGGUUCUAGGUUUCUAUUCCUGAAGUAGAUUGAGAGGGAUAGUUGGGGGUGCUAGUCUUGGCCGGCCAGAGGUGAAAUUCUUGGAUUCGGUCAAGACUAACUUAUGCGAAAGCAUU
rnacentral:rRNA from 1 species